rnacentral:sRNA from 1 species
UGUUUCCACCUCGAUGAUAAUGGACUGAACCUCUGAACCUCCCAAGUGUAGAGAUUGCCACUGAAAGAUGCUCGACAAACAAAUGCCGGAAGAAAGCGGAUGUGAAUCUGUCAGCAUCCGAGUUUGUCAGUGUCCCCUGAGAACAAAGGAGAACACCUCAGUUCUUCUCCAAGGCCCGGGGCCCAGAGCCGGCAGGAUUCACUGCUGUCAUCUAUCCUGGACAAGUGAUGGAUUCCUGUGCUUGAUUUACAAAACUGCAGAAAUGACAAGAGCUGCCUCACUGAGACUUAGAGGAAGAGAGCAAGCUACUGUGACACAUUUUGAUUAGAACCAGGACACACUAAGAGCUCAGGGCUGAUGGCUGUUGUUUGUGAAAGCACUUUCUAGUCACAACAGUGCGUUGUGUUUUCUUGACUGCGAAGUAUUUUAUCUGCUUUGUCUUCUUAUAUGCGUUCUCUCUCUAAAGUUAUUGAUCAGUUCCAAUGUUUUUCUCAUAAAUAUUUCCAGUAAGACUUA